rnacentral:ncRNA from 1 species
GAGGAGCUGCCCCUAGUACGAGAGGACCGGGGUGGACAGACCGCUGGUGUGCCAGUUGUCGUGCCAACGGCAUCGCUGGGUAGCUAAGUCUGGCAGAGAUAACCGCUGAAAGCAUCUAAGUGGGAAACUCGCCUCAAGAUGAGAUCCCUCAUCCUGAAAGGGAGUAAGGCCGCAGGAAGACUACCUGCUUGAUAGGCGGCGGGUGUAAGUGCAGCAAUGCAUUGAGCCAAGCCGUACUAAUGGCCGAGGGCUUGCUCCA